GCGGGUGUAGUACAGUGGUAGUACGCUUGCUUCCCAAGCAAAGAACGGGAGUUCGAUUCUCCUCACCCGCU
rfam:Parcubacteria (Yanofskybacteria) bacterium GW2011_GWE2_40_11 TT75_C0003, whole genome shotgun sequence.